AAAUGAAUUGACGGGGACCCGCACAAGCAGCGGAGCAUGUGGUUUAAUUCGAAGCAACGCGAAGAACCUUACCAGGACUUGACAUAUAGAUGAAAAAUAUAGAGAUAUAUAAUACCCUUCGGGGACAACUAUACAGGUGGUGCAUGGUUGUCGUCAGCUCGUGUCGUGAGAUGUUGGGUUAAGUCCCGCAACGAGCGCAACCCUUACCUUUAGUUACCAGCAAGUAAAGUUGGGGACUCUAGAGGGACUGCCGAUGACAAAUCGGAGGAAGGUGGGGAUGACGUCAAAUCAUCAUGCCCUAUAUGUCCUGGGCAACACACGUGCUACAAUGGUCGGAACAAAGGGAAGCGAAGUCGUGAGGCGAAGCAAAUCCCAUAAAACCGAUCUCAGUUCGGAUUGUUCUCUGCAACUCGAGAACAUGAAGUCGGAGUUGCUAGUAAUCGCAGAUCAGAAUGCUGCGGUGAAUGCGUUCCCGGGUCUUGUACACACCGCCCGU
rnacentral:rRNA from 1 species